GACUAAGGUUCGAUUCGAGCGCAGCGAGAAAGCGUUGCCGCAGGCAACGACCCGAAGGGCGAAGCGCGCAGCGCUGAGUAAUCCUUCCCCCACCACCA
rnacentral:sRNA from 1 species